rnacentral:rRNA from 1 species
GAUGAACGCUGGCGGCGUGCCUCAAACAUGCAAGUCGAGCGGGGCUAUGUAAUAUCGCAAGGUAGAACAUAGCCUAGCGGCGAACGGGUGAGUAACACGUGGGUAACCUGCCUGGAAGACAGGGAUAACGAUUCGAAAGGGUCGCUAAUACCUGAUAAUAUCCUUUCAUCGCAUGGUGAUAGGAAGAAAGGGGAAACCCGCUUUCAGAUGGGCCCGCGUCCCAUCAGCUAGUUGGUAAGGUAAAGGCUUACCAAGGCGACGACGGGUAGCCGGUCUGAGAGGAUGUACGGCCACACUGGGACUGAGAUACGGCCCAGACUCCUACGGGAGGCAGCAGUUGGGAAUCUUAGGCAAUGGACGAAAGUCUGACCUAGCGACGCCGCGUGAGGGAAGAAGGCCUUCGGGUUGUAAACCUCUGUCAUGGGGGAAGAGUAAGUGACGGUACCCAAGAGGAAGCCCCUGCUAACUACGUG